rnacentral:rRNA from 1 species
GAUGAACGCUGGCGGCGUGCCUAAUACAUGCAAGUCGAGCGAACGGACGAGAAGCUUGCUUCUCUGAUGUUAGCGGCGGACGGGUGAGUAACACGUGGAUAACCUACCUAUAAGACUGGGAUAACUUCGGGAAACCGGAGCUAAUACCGGAUAAUAUUUUGAACCGCAUGGUUCAAAAGUGAAAGACGGUCUUGCUGUCACUUAUAGAUGGAUCCGCGCUGCAUUAGCUAGUUGGUAAGGUAACGGCUUACCAAGGCAACGAUGCAUAGCCGACCUGAGAGGGUGAUCGGCCACACUGGAACUGAGACACGGUCCAGACUCCUACGGGAGGCAGCAGUAGGGAAUCUUCCGCAAUGGGCGAAAGCCUGACGGAGCAACGCCGCGUGAGUGAUGAAGGUCUUCGGAUCGCAAAACUCUGUUAUUAGGGAAGAACAUAUGUGUAAGUAACUGUGCACAUCUUGACGGUACCUAAUCAGAAAACCACGGCUAACUACGU